rnacentral:rRNA from 1 species
AGCGAACGCUGGCGGCAGGCCUAACACAUGCAAGUCGAACGAACCUUUCGGGGUUAGUGGCGGACGGGUGAGUAACACGUGGGAACGUGCCUUUAGGUUCGGAAUAACUCAGGGAAACUUGUGCUAAUACCGAAUGUGCCCUUCGGGGGAAAGAUUUAUCGCCUUUAGAGCGUCCCGCGUCUGAUUAGCUAGUUGGUUGAGGUAAUGGCUGACCAAGGCGACGAUCAGUAGCUGGUCUGAGAGGAUGAUCAGCCACAUUGGGACUGGGACACGGCCCAAACUCCUACGGGAGGCAGCAGUGGGGAAUCUUGCGCAAUGGGCGAAAGCCUGACGCAGCCAUGCCGCGUGAAUGAUGAAGGUCUUAGGAUUGUAAAAUUCUUUCACCGGGGACGAUAAUGACGGUACCCGGAGAAGAAGCCCCGGCUAACUUCGUG